rnacentral:sRNA from 4 species
AUGCGCCACGCGUACGCCGCGGCUCUGAGCGCGUUGUCCACAUCCACCCGCCGCCUGCUCGCUACCUGUAGUUAGCC